AUUGAACGCUGGCGGCAUGCCUUACACAUGCAAGUCGAACGGUAACGCGGGGCAACCUGGCGACGAGUGGCGAACGGGGGAGUAAUGCAUCGGAACGUGCCCAGGAGUGGGGGAUAGCCCGGCGAAAGCCGGAUUAAUACCCCAUACGACCUACGGGUGAAAGCGGGGGACUGUAAGGCCUCGCGCGGGUGGAGCGGCCGAUGUCGGAUGAGGUUGUUGGUGGGGUAAAGGCCUACCAAGCCGACGAUCCGUAGCCGGUCUGAGAGGACGACCAGCCACACUGGGACUGAGACACGGCCCAGACUCCUACGGGAGGCAGCAGUGGGGAAUUUUGGACAAUGGGGGCAACCCUGAUCCAGCCAUGCCGCGUGCGGGAAGAAGGCCUUCGGGUUGUAAACCGCUUUUGUCGGGGAAGAAAUCUUCUGGGCUAAUACCCGAGGAGGAUGACGGUACCCGAAGAAUAAGCACCGGCUAACUACGUGCCAGCAGCCGCCGUAACAC
rnacentral:rRNA from 1 species